rnacentral:rRNA from 1 species
UGUCGUCAGCUCGUGUCGUGAGAUGUUGGGUUAAGUCCGUAACGAGCGCAACCCUUGUCCUUAGUUACCAGCACGUUAUGGUGGGCGACUCUAAGGAGACUGCCGGUGACAAACCGGAGGAAGGUGGGGAUGACGUCAAGUCAUCAUGGCCCUUACGGCCUGGGCUACACACGUGCUACAAUGGUCGGUACAAAGGGUUGCCAAGCCGCGAGGUGGAGCUAAUCCCAUAAAACCGAUCGUAGUCCGGAUCGCAGUCUGCAACUCGACUGCGUGAAGUCGGAAUCGCUAGUAAUCGUGAAUCAGAAUGUCACGGUGAAUACGUUCCCGGGCCUU